GCUCUUUGUAAGCAAUGGCUUAUUUGGAGAGAAUGGUAACUUGUUAUUUAUUUUUUGAGAGGAGAGAAAGCAAAGGAAAGGAAGUCCACAUGUAAAAUGUCCUUUCACUGGUACUACAUUUAAUCCGAUGUCUUAUUUGUUUAUUCAUUUGUUCAUCAUUCAGCCAUUCUUUCUUUAGUGGCUGCUUUGUGCCAGGUGAUGUUCAAGGCAUUGGAAAUAUAAUAGGUGCAGUUUUAACACUCACAGUGCUUAUGAUCGAAAAGAGGACUAGAGACAAGUAAAUAGGCAACUAUAAUAGAAUGUGAUAAGUGCAUAAGUAGUGUGCUAUGGGAGCAGAGCUAAUCCAGAUUUAGAGGGCAUAGGACAUCUUAGCUGAGACAUAAGGAUUUGUAGAUGUUAGUCAAGAAAUAUUGAUAGCAUGAUAACACUGGGAACAUUGGAUAGGCAUGUAUCAGGUGGAGGGAACAUCAUGUGGAAAUAUCUAGAGUAAGAGUGAUCAUGGCUUAUUGAAGGAACUAAAAGGGGCUUAAUUUGGCUACAGCAUAUUGUAAUUUGGAUGACAGAGUAGGAGACCAGAUGCCGGGCCUUGUAAAGUAUGUUGAGGAAUUUGGGCUUUAUCCUGAUAGUAGUGUAAAACCAUUGCAGGCUUCUAGGAAGAAGGUAACAUGAUCAUAUCUGUAUUUUAGAAAGAUCACCCUGGCUCUAUUAUAACAUCUCCAUUUAAGGGUAACAAUAUUAGAAGUAGGGAGAUGAUUUGGUCUAGGGGAGUGGCAGUGAGAAUGGAGAGAACUGGAUGAUAGAUUUAAGGUACAUCUCAGACAGAAUCAAUAGGACUUGGUCAUUGAUUUGGUAUGAGAUGGGGAACAGGAAAGAGUCAAGGAUUAUACUCAGGUCUCUGGCAUGGUGUGAUUCAUUGGAAUAAGGAAUGUA